rnacentral:ncRNA from 2 species
AUUUAAGGUAGAGGUGCGAUUUUUAUUAGUAACGAUAAGGAGUUAAGCAACGUUGAAUUAUUGUGAAAGGGAACAUCGCCGAAGCAUAUAACUGAAGCUUUAAGGUUAUUUAGCUGGGGAUAUAUAUAAUAUGUAUAUCACUGUCACUAAGAAAUUAGUGGUGAGCUAUCAAAUGG